rnacentral:rRNA from 1 species
CAGGCCUAACACAUGCAAGUCGAACGAUGGCUUCGGCCAUAGUGGCGCACGGGUGCGUAACGCGUGGGAAUCUGCCCUUGGGUUCGGAAUAACCAGGAGAAAUUCUGGCUAAUACCGGAUGAUGACGUAAGUCCAAAGAUUUAUCGCCCAAGGAUGAGCCCGCGUAGGAUUAGCUUGUUGGUGAGGUAAAGGCUCACCAAGGCGACGAUCCUUAGCUGGUCUGAGAGGAUGAUCAGCCACACUGGGACUGAGACACGGCCCAGACUCCUACGGGAGGCAGCAGUGGGGAAUAUUGGACAAUGGGCGAAAGCCUGAUCCAGCAAUGCCGCGUGAGUGAUGAAGGCCUUAGGGUUGUAAAGCUCUUUUACCCGGGAUGAUAAUGACAGUACCGGGAGAAUAAGCUCCGGCUAACUCCGUGCCAGCAGCCGCGGUAAU